ensembl:misc_RNA Metazoa_SRP Metazoan signal recognition particle RNA
GCCAGGCGUGGUGGUUCAUGCCUGUAAUCCCAACACUUUGGGAGGCUGAGGUGGGUGGAUCACCUGAGGUCAGGAGUUUGAGACCAGCCUGACCAACAUGGUGAAACCCCAUCUCUA